rnacentral:rRNA from 1 species
GACGAACGCUGGCGGCGUGCUUAACACAUGCAAGUCGAACGGGAUCCGGGCUUUCGGGUUUGGUGAGAGUGGCGAACGGGUGAGUAACACGUGAGUAACCUGCCCCCUUCUUUGGGAUAACGUCGGGAAAUCGGCGCUAAUACUGGAUAUUCUUGCUGCAUCGCAUGGUGUGGUUUGGAAAGGGUUUCUGGUGGGGGAUGGGUUCGCGGCCUAUCAGCUUGUUGGUGGGGUGAUGGCCUACCAAGGCUUUGACGGGUAGCCGGCCUGAGAGGGUGUCCGGCCACACUGGGACUGAGACACGGCCCAGAAGCCUACGGGAGGCAGCAGUGGGGAAUAUUGCACAAUGGGCGCAAGCCUGAUGCAGCGACGCCGCGUGAGGGAUGACGGCCUUCGGGUUGUAAACCUCUUUCAGUAUGGAACAAGGAUCCUUCUUGUGGGGGGUUUGAGGGUACGUGCAGAAGAAGCGCCGGCUAACUACGUG